GUGCCAGCCGCCGCGGUAAUACCGGCAGCACGAGUGAUGGCCGAUCUUAUUGGGCCUAAAGCGUCCGUAGCUGGGCCUGAAAGUCCAUCGGGAAAUCCACGCGCUCAACGAGUGGCCGUCCGGUGGAAACUACACACCUUGGGACCGGAAGGCUCGAAGGGUACGGCCGGGGUAGGAGUGAAAUCCUGUAAUCCCGGCCGUACCACCGAUGGCGAAAGCACUUCGAGAAAACGGAUCCGACAGUGAGGGACGAAAGCUAAGAUCGCGAACCGGAUUAGAUACCCGAGUAGUCC
rnacentral:rRNA from 1 species